rnacentral:misc_RNA from 1 species
GAUGAAGAACGUAGCGAAAUGCGAUAAGUAGUGUGAAUUGCAGAAUUCAGUGAAUCAUCGAAUCUUUGAACGCACAUUGCACCCCUUGGUAUUCCAUGGGGCAUGCCUGUUCGAGCGUCAUUUGUACCUUCAAGCUUUGCUUGGUGUUGGGUGUUUGUCUCGCCUUUGCGUGUAGACUCGCCUUAAAACAAUUGGCAGCCGGCGUAUUGAUUUCGGAGCGCAGUACAUCUCGCGCUUUGCACUCAUAACGACGACGUCCAAAAGUACAUUUUUACACUCUUGACCUCGGAUCAGGUAGGGAUACCCGCUGAACUUAAGCAUAUCAAUAAGCGGAGGA